rnacentral:rRNA from 1 species
GAUGAACGCUGGCGGCGUGCUUAACACAUGCAAGUCGAACGGACUUACAUUGAAGCCUAGCGAUAUGUAAGUUAGUGGCGGACGGGUGAGUAACGCGUGGGUAACCUGCCGUAUACAGGGGAAUAACGUUCUGAAAAGAACGCUAAUACCGCAUAACACAUAUUUGCCGCAUGACAGAUAUGUCAAAGAUUUUAUCGCUCGGAGAUGGACUCGCGUCCGAUUAGUUAGUUGGUGAGGUAACGGCUCACCAAGGCCGCGAUCGGUAGCCGGACUGAGAGGUUGAACGGCCACAUUGGGACUGAGACACGGCCCAGACUCCUACGGGAGGCAGCAGUGGGGGAUAUUGCGCAAUGGGGGCAACCCUGACGCAGCAACGCCGCGUGAAGGAUGAAGGUUUUCGGAUUGUAAACUUCUUUUAUCAGGGACGAACUCUGACGGUACCUGAUGAAUAAGCUCCGGCCAACUACGUG